rnacentral:rRNA from 1 species
CGCGUGAGCAUCCUGGCGGCGAGUGGCGAACGGGUGAGUAAUACAUCGGAACGUGUCCUGUAGUGGGGGAUAGCCCGGCGAAAGCCGGAUUAAUACCGCAUACGAUCUACGGAUGAAAGCGGGGGAUCGCAAGACCUCGCGCUAUAGGGGCGGCCGAUGGCGGAUUAGCUAGUUGGUGGGGUAAAGGCCCACCAAGGCGACGAUCCGUAGCUGGUCUGAGAGGACGACCAGCCACACUGGGACUGAGACACGGCCCAGACUCCUACGGGAGGCAGCAGUGGGGAAUUUUGGACAAUGGGCGCAAGCCUGAUCCAGCAAUGCCGCGUGUGUGAAGAAGGCCUUCGGGUUGUAAAGCACUUUUGUCCGGAAAGAAAUCCUCUGGGUUAAUACCCCGGGGGGAUGACGGUACCGUCAGAAUAAGCACCGGCUAACUACGUGCCAGCAGCCGCGGGUAUACGUAGGGUGCGAGCGUUUAUCGGAAUUACUGGGCGUUAAGCGUGCGCAGGCGGUGAUGUAAGAACGAUGUGAAAUCCCCGGGCUUACCUGGG